UGCUAGCGGGUGGUUUGGGCUGUUACAGAUGGUAUCAGAGCCGGAGCCCGGACCGAUGUGCCAGCAAAGGCGCUGGGCUCCUUUAGGGGAGUGGAUUGUAAGGUCCCACAUCGGUUGGGGAGGGGAACGAAGCAUGCCUUAUAAGGGUGUGGAUACCUCUCCCUAGCAUGACACAUUUUGACGAGUGAGUGUGGGGGGCUUCAGCUAUCAUCCUUAUCGUCAAAGGCAAAACCGUGAGGCCUUGAGUGCCAAAGCAGACAAUAUCAUGCUAGCGGGUGGUUUGGGCUGUUACAGAUGGUAUCAGAGCCGGAGCCCGGACCGAUGUGCCAGCAAAGGCGCUGGGCUCCUUUAGGGGAGUGGAUUGUAAGGUCCCACAUCGGUUGGGGAGGGGAACGAAGCAUGCCUUAUAAGGGUGUGGAUACCUCUCCCUAGCAUGACACAUUUUGACGAGUGAGUGUGGGGGGCUUCAGCUAUCAUCCUUAUCGUCAAAGGUAAAACCGUGAGGCCUUGUGUGCUAAAGCGGACAAUAUCGUGCUAGCAGGUGGUCUGGGCUGUUACAAUACU